rnacentral:misc_RNA from 1 species
CGCACAUUGCGCCUAUUAGUAUUCUAGUAGGCAUGCCUGUUCGAGCGUCAUUUACAACCCUCAAGUAAACCUUCUUACUUGGUGUUGGGCACCUGCCCUAACCGGCAGCGCCUGAAAAACAGCGGCGGAACCUAGCCACUCCUGAGCGUAGUAGUAUUUUCAAAUCGCUUUGGCGGGUGGAUUAGGCGCUUGCCUUGCCCUAUACUUUUUUUGAAGUUGACCUCGGAUCAGGUAGGAAUACCCGCUGAACUUAA